AAAAAUUCUCAGAUCUGUGUUAUGCCAUAGCAAACGGAUUCCUGCAUUCCCUUCCGAUGAGGAUUUUGCCCCUGAAGAGCCUACCCAUGAAGUUUCUAACACUUCAACACAAUUAUUGUUACUUUCAAGUGAAGAUGAGUGUGAAGUUCAGGUUCAAUUACCUGGUACCUCAACACCACAGGAACCAUCGUUGCUCAGUGUGGAUACAGCCAGUGACUUGGAUGGUUAUGGGUCUCCCAACGACACUGAGGAUCCACACCCUACACUGAAUCACUCUGUUGUUUCCAGCCACUCGCAACAGCCUAACGGAUCAGACACUCCCUCAGCAUCCACAACAGUCUCCAUGAGGUCAUAUCUAAUGCCUAAUUCAUUUGAUAUAAAGAAGCAUUUCCAUUUCAGUAGCACUUUUUUAGUGAUCUAUUAGUUAUAUUUUAUCAUCUUAAGUAUAAUUUUCUACAAUAGGAAAAGAAAGCGUUUCCGUGAAAAAAUACAACUCAGGAGGAGAAAGAGAAGACUGUCUGUUCCGUUGAAUGGACAAGGAGUAUCCGUUACUUGUCCAAUCGACAAGUCUGACAAUGCAACAUCUGAAUACAAAAGACUAUCUGCCCACACUAAAAAAACAAUGAGCACUCAAAAACGGAUUACUCGUGCUUUUGAAGGGUUUAAUCUAGCUUUAGGUGCUGGCAUCAUUCCUGUUUUAUCAGAACACUAUAGGUUUAGAAAACAAAAAGAAGUCAUGUUAAAUGAUAGUGUAGUGUGUAUUAACUGGGAACAUUUGUAAAAAAGUCGACAUAAUGUCAACAUUUAUUAUCUUACUGUGAAAUAUUUUUGAAAGUUUGUCAUUCUUCUUUGUGUAUUUGUGGGACAUGAAGGG